GGCUCUGCACUGUCAGUACAGAGCCUGCUUGGGAUUCAUUCUCUCUCCCUCUCUGUUUGCCCUUCCCCUGUUCUGUCUCUCUCUCUCUCAAAAUAAAUAAACUUAAAAAAGAAAAAAACAGAGAUGCAGAUACCAAUUUUAUCCACCAGAUUGACAGCGAUCAGAAAAUAGGAUACGAAAUAGGAUAUUAAAUGUGGAUGAAGACAGGGGACACUGGGAGUUCUCCAGCACAGCGGGCCGAACAGCACUGAUGAAGUGAGGUGUCUGGUUCUGUUCCGGAGGGCUGCCUCUCACGUUGGGGCCACACACCCCAGGAGGGGACCCGCACCAGGACACCCAUCAUAACCCUGUUGGAGAUGGCAUGUUGUGGAGGGAACCCAGGCUGGAUCCCUCAGAGUCCUAGCAGGAAACAGAUGGCAUGCCCAAAUCAGGAUCCUUUGAGGAGGGUUAAUUUAUAAAGGGACUGUUUACAAAAGUGUGGGUACAGGGAAACCCCAGAGAUAAUGCAGAAGCCCCAGGUUCAGAGCAGCAGAGACGAUACCGAGGCCAUUUGGGUUUGGCCAAGUGUUGUGUGGACAAGCAGGAUCCAGCCAGCUAUGGGUCUGCUGCCAGAAGGAUCCCCAGAAAGAAAUGCCCUGCCCCCCUGUCCCUCUCCACUCACCCCCCUCAGCCCCUCUUGGGACUUCUCUUUGGCUACACCCAAUCAGAAGCCAGAGAGCAAGGAGCCCAUUGUUGGGGUCAUAUGAGGCAUCCCGCUGGGCACAGAGCAGGAGGAGAGGGUGGAGGGGAGCCUGAAGGGAACAGGAGUGUCCUUCCUUCCAGGGCAGGAGGAGUGUCCUUCUCCGUGUCCUCCCGCCCUGGAGAAAAGAGGAAUCACAGCACACACUUGCCUUGGAACACAACACGGCCAUCAGAAGAAGUAUAGACGUACAAACAACGUCAUUGGGUCUUAAAAUCUGGUGCUGAGUUAAAAAAAGACAACAAAGACACAAGAUGGAGAGCCCACCAUGUGCACACGUUUAAAUGCUCAUGUACACGAAGCCAAAUCUUCUCAAAGAUUCGCGGGACAUCCGAGGCACCAACCAGAAGGAGGGCCGUGGGAGCAGGGACUGGAGAUCUGUGAGGGAAAGAUGAAGAGCAAUAAAACAAGAGCCCCCCAGGACUGAGCAAUGAGCAGCGUAGGAUCGACUCAGUGCCUCGCCUGGAGGACAGUGACAGACUCCCUGAAUCCUGCUCCCCAGACACCCACGCCUGCCUGGUGCUCAGCACACAUCCUCUUUACCGAUCCUGGAGGCUGCUGAAAGGGGCUCUUUUCCAUCCUCGACUCUGGAAGUUCUCAUACACACCCGGCCCACCGUGCCUGGAUCUCCAAAUUUUGUUCAAAUUUCGUUCAACUGCCCACGAUGGGGCAGGGGGGAGUCCAUAGUGACUCAUUUUCCCCAUCUGCUGAGAUGGCUUUUGACAAAUGAAGCCCAGCCAGAUGCUCCUGUGGGACCGAGAGACUGUCCACCUCAGAAGCGAGACCUUGGCUUCCAGGCCAGGAGCACCUCCCAUGUGGAUCUUCAGACUCUCAUCCACCACUACCGUGAUGCAAUUCGAACCACCUGGAAUGAGCACGGAGUCCACAGGGCAAGACUGCCCCCACGUCCGUCACCAGCCACAGGCUCAGGGACCCCCAGGCCACGUGCAAUUCUGACCCACCGGCCACAAAUCUGGAGGGGGGGUUCAUGACCCCCAUCAGGUUUAGGAAUUUGCUAGGAUAACUCACAGAGCUCAGGGAUCUGGAAGUCAAGGUGAGAAGCUCAUUCAGUGUGAGCUUUACAACACCCUCGGACCAUCCACAGAGCGAAUGCUACUCUCUUCUGCUGUCGUGAAGGAAAGACGUAGUGCAUUGUGACCUGCCAGAAGUCACACAGCCAGCAGACCAGCCCACCCUCAGCCUGGGUCUUCUGAUGCUGAGGCCAGGGCGUUUCCAGAACACCACGCUGAGACUUCACAAUGUAAUUUGAAAGUUUGAACCAAAAGGGCUUCUGAGAAGCAUUCAGUUGACAAGAAGCAGACAGCUCCUCCUCCUUCCCGCCCAUUCAUCUGCUCCCUGAGCCCUCUGGACAACGGGAGAAUUUAGUUUGAAUGCCCGUUUCUAACAACUCCGUUUCCCGAGUUUCUGAGCAACCCAGGCACCCACUAUCUGUCAUCAAGAGGGUGACCAUGGUGUCUGCCCAGCUUGGUCAUGGACUGCGGCCUUCAGAUGGGAGAAGAUGCUUCCAGACUUUGCCCGGUCAUUCUUCUCCACACCUUAACCCACCUGAAAACAGAUGCAGCGAGAAGCAUCUUUCUCUGCCCGGCGGUCUCCUCACAGAUGUCUCCCGAAACAUUUUUUCACCACACCUUUUUGCCUUCGAAAAGGGAUCAACACACAGUCCCUGUCUGGGGAGCCGUGGUGCAGGGCAGUGUAGCAAGUUAAACCCAGUCUCCACCACUCACCGGGUAAUCUUGGACGCGUUAUUGGUCUCUCCGAGCUGUUUCUAUGCUCACAAGACAGAGGAGGAGAAAUGGUGCGUGUCCUCUCAUCCCCAGUCCCCCCACCCCUGCUCCCUGCCCCGAGCCGGGCAUUCCAAGCAGAAAGCAGACCCCUUCGGGCGCCCAGCUGGGAUCAAUUCAGCAGAGCCACGCAGAAUGUGAGAAGCCAAUCACUUCAAAGCCAGGUUUGCACAACUGUGUCCAUUCUUCCUCCAAGAAAUUUCACACCUUGACACCAAGGAGCCGGUGUUUAAGAAAGAGGAAUUUAAAGUUAAGUAGCAUUUUCUCU